CAACCAUCAAGCACUGGCUUGUCGUUGGACUCAAGGUCGUUUAAAAAAAGACCGGUCCGAAAGAUAAUGGACGGGACCUGUCGGCCCUAGAUGCAACGAGCUUUUUUACAGCACGCAUCGAACGUGUCGGUAGUCCCCGCCUUUAAACCCCAUUUUCUCAGGUUGACCUCGGAUCAGGUAGGAAUACCCGCUGAACUUAA
rnacentral:misc_RNA from 1 species